CCAAUAGCGUAUAUUAAAGUUGUUGCAGUUAAAAAGCUCGUAGUUGAAUUUCGGGGUCAGUAGGUCGGUCGUGCCACAGGUAUGCACUGGUCUCACUGAUUCCUCCUUCCUGAUGAACCGUAAUGCCAUUGAUUUGGUGUUGCGGGGAGACUGGACUGUUACUUUGAAAAAAUUAGAGUGUUUAAAGCAGGCUAACGCUUGAAUACAUUAGCAUGGAAUAACGGAAUAGGACGUUCGAUCUUAUUUUGUUGGUUUCUAAGAUUGACGUAAUGAUUAAUAGGGAUAGUUGGGGGCAUUAGUAUUCAAUUGUAAGGGGUGAAAUUCUUGGAUUUAUUGAAGACUAACUACUGCGAAAGCAUUUGCCAAGGAUGUUUUCAUUAAUCAAGAACGAAAGUUAGGGGAUCGAAGACGAUCAGAUACCGUCGUAGUCUUAACCAUAAACUAUGCCGACUAGGGAUCGGAUGAUGUUAAUUUUUUAAUGACUCAUUCGGCGCCUUACG
rnacentral:rRNA from 1 species